GCAUGAUACCUCAGACUUUAAAAUGACUGAGAGAUUGACAUGUCAUCAAAUGAAAAAAGUUGAGAAGCUAAUGAGACCAUUUUGUUUGUCCAUGUCAUUGCCAUUGUGUUUAACUUCUUUUUUUAACAGUCUUGGUUUAGAAAAAAAUACGAAUCGACAAGAUCUAUGAUCCAUCGGCUGUAAUGUGAAUCCAAGCUCUAGCCCUAGCCGCUCUGAAUGGUGUUAAUUUCAACAUUUACUGUCGAUUUUUGGCGUUCUGGGUUAAUGAUAUCGCCAAGAUGCAGCAACAGUUUAGGUUUCGGAUCUCGGGAUCACGGAUCGUACCAUCCUCAGUUGAGAACUCUCUCUGUGGUUCGAUUCACAGAAGUUACUAUCUCCUCCUCUGUCACCGGAAAAGCCUAGCAAAAUUGUUUGAUCUUCUUGUCUCUGGUUCGAGAGAUGGAUGUUUUGCGCUAUGGGAUUUAAGAUGUAAAAGAAGCUCUUUAAGAGAAGAGUUUUGCAUCAACUCUACUGGCAUGGUUAAAGGAGCUCAUCUAUCUCCUCUUUCAAAAGAAAUUGGACGUCGCAAGGCUGCUUCAUCUAGCAUUACCUCUGUACUGUAUCUCAAAGACGAGAUCACAAUUGCCGGAGCACCAGAUAGUGCCCUGAAAUUUUGGACGUAAGAAAGCUGAAAGCUCCUUUUGCUCAAGCAUCUCCACUAAGGUAACCUAAGCUUCAUAUUUAUAUCGUGUUAUUUCUUAAUGGUCACUAUGUGAAUUUGGCAUUGCUCAGUUCCAGUAGAUACUUGAUUAACUUGUAUUCUGAAAACCUGGGUACUAUUUUUCUUAUUGUUGGUUAGCCUUGGUGAUGUUGUUCCUUGGGAACAGAUAAAGCCAUCAAAGAAUAUCUUGUAUGAAACAUGUAAGCCUGAGAAAUAGUUCAGGUGCAAUGACUUUGAUGAGAAGAGACUAUGAAGAUUCUAAAUUUUAAGAACCGAUGAGAGACAAUGAAGUAUAGUAACAGACGUAGGUUUAGUUGGUUUACAAGUGGAUAUCUUCUAUAAAGAAAACUCCAAAUGGUAUAUGAUUCUCCUUGUGAAGACAAUGGCUUCAGACGCGGAAAGAUUUUGUAGAAAUACGGUUAAAGAGCACUAUGAUUGUAGCUUUCUAAGUCUCAUAUUUGGUUCCCAAGGUGAUACUCAGAAACAGCUCGAGAAGUAACUCACCUACAAAUGUCAUGGCUACUAUUCUCAGCUACAGUUCCAUAUCUUCCUUGUGUUGACAGCCUUCUGUAUCUCUGAGUCAAGUACUUCUUCAUUACUAUCCUCUUGAUGGACGUCUCACCAUAAGUCCUGUAGGUAAACUCACUGUGAACUAUACUGAAGAUGGAGUUGUGUUUCUGGAAGCUGAAACAAACUGUAAAAUGGAUGAGAUUGGCGACAUCACGAAACCAGACCUUGAGACACUAGAGAAACUUGUCUAUGAUGUUGUAGAAACCAAGAAUAUUCUUGAAGUCCCUCCCGUUACUGCUCAGGUUUACUACUUUUCUUCCUGCUCAGGUGACUAAAUGGAGGGUUUGUUCUUCGACUCUGUAUGAAUCAUUGUAUGUUCGAUGGUAUCGGAGCUAUGGAGUUCGUUAACUCAUGGGCUCAAGUCGCUAGAGGCUUACCAUUAAUAACUCCUUUCUUUGACCCAAAAAAAAAACUCCAUUCUCGGAUAGAAUCGGAGGAGAUGUUUUUGUUUUUUUCUGUGUGUAUUUCUUUUUUUAGUACUCUAUGUUUCUAAUGUCGGAUUAUGUGUUUUCGUUAUGCC